GCCCGAGUGGGGUCGGGGCCCCGGCCACCCGGGCUAGCGCUCAGUCUGCGUGGCGCCUCGUCGGCGCCCUGCGCGCAGCCCCACGCGAGCUCAGGCCCUUUCCUGCCUCGGUUUCCCCCUCUGUCACCACCGCGUGAAGCCCCGUCCGUGCUGGGAUGUGAGGAUCUCCGGGUUUUCCAGUCGCGGUUGGAAGCGCUUUAAGCAUUUAAAAUCCUUCAGCCUCCAGAGAUGCUGCGCUGCGCCCCUUUGUCAUCCUCAUUUUACAGCGUCUCGAGAGGCUGCGGUCACGGCGCGGGCCGGGGCUGGGGCUCGUGUGAAGCCUCGGCCAGGGCAGCAUUCACCUCCAGGCUCACCCACUUGUGGACGGCGGCAUUUGGUUCCUGUCGGGCUGGCGGCUGGAGGGCCCCCCAACGUGGCAACUUGCUUCUAGCCAGACAGAAGUCAGAACGGUGGGCAAUCUAAUCACGCGAGUGACGUCCCCACCCUGGCCGUGUUCUGCGGGUCAGAGCUGGGUCCACAGGGCAGGGGUCACACGAGGCCGUGGAUACUGAGAAGCGGGGCAUCACUCUCGGAGGCUGCAGACCACCCAGACCCUCAGAGGAGGCCCUCAGUGGCGGCCAGCCGGGAGCCUCCCCCAUGGCUUUGGUGCCCCGGGACAUAAGGGACCUCCCGGUGUCUGGCCAUGCUGCCACCUCCCAGCAGUCACCCAGGUGCAACCUGGGCUCCAUCCGCGAGAGUGGCUGAGGGCACCGUGCAGUCUGGCUGGCGACUCAGUGGAGCGGUUUUGGCCCCAACUUCAGCUUCCUCUUCUCUCCAAGGGGGUGGCGGCUGUGGCCCCCUCACGGCAGCACAUGAGUGACACAUGGCCGUUCCUCGUGCCGGCUCUUCUCCAGAGAGCCUGGCGUGCGCUGUUAGUAUCUGCUCUUUGCAGCCUGCAGACGGAGGCUCAGAGAGGGAAGUGGCUUCCUCAAGGGCGCACAGUGAAUCGGUUGCAGAGAGGAUGCGAACGGGGGCGUGCCUGACUCCAGACCACCAUCUUAAAAGAUUAAAAAAUAUGUUUAUUUUCCGAUUAGGAAGGUGACACGUUUGAUCAAAACAUCGACAUGUUAUGGGGCUGGCCCCGUGGCCGAGUGGUUAAGUUCGCGCGCUCUGCUGCAGGCGGCCCAGUGUUUCAUUGGUUCGAAUCCUGGGCGCGGACAUGGCACUGCUCGUCAGACCACGCUGAGGCAGCGUCCCACAUGCCACAACUAGAAGAACCCACAACGAAGAAUACACAACUAUGUACCAGGGGGCUUUG
rnacentral:lncRNA from 1 species